rnacentral:rRNA from 1 species
CUCUCAUGCCUUUCUUCGUUCAUGCUUUUAUAUUCUGGUGUCCUCGGCGUAGAGGAACCACACCAAUCCAUCCCGAACUUGGUGGUUAAACUCUAUUGCGGUGACGAUACUGUAG